rnacentral:rRNA from 1 species
UACAGAGGGUGCAAGCGUUAAUCGGAAUUACUGGGCGUAAAGCGUGCGUAGACGGUUACAUAAGUCGGGUGUGAAAGCCCCGGGCUCAACCUGGGAAUUGCAUUCGAGACUGCGUAGCUAGGGUGCGGAAGAGGGAAGCGGAAUUUCCGGUGUAGCGGUGAAAUGCGUAGAUAUCGGGAGGAACACCUGUGGCGAAAGCGGCGCACUGGACCACAUCUGACGCUGAGGCGCGAAAGCUAGGGGAGCAAACAG